AUGCAAUUUGGUGAGUUAUACGGAUGGAGGAGAAAGCCAGUCCUCCUGGCCACCAUGCAGAAGUUAUUAAGAGUGGAAUGCAUUGGUUCUAGCAACUUGCAAAGUAGAUCCUUAAAAGCUGCCCUUGUAUGCAACACUUACCACUGCUUGAUAAGUUUUUUUUUUUUUUUAACAGGUCCUUUAAAUGUACCACUGAGCCAGCAAGAAGGUGAAGGAAAAGCCAAAAUCAAAAAGCCAGGAAUUCCUGAAGGCUUGACCCUUCCCAGACCCUGCUCCUGUGACCCAGCCAAUUUUACAGAAUCAGCAUUGCCCAAGUUCAUCGAGCCUUGGCACAUCCAAGUGGUCUUUCAUGACUUCUUCAUUAUAGGAAGAGAUGCAAGAGAGAAGUCUGCUGCGGAAGGCCUGCAUGCAACCUGGUGUCCUUAUGAAAAGAGGAAGCUUAAACCCACAGAGAAACACCAGGGGCAUGUGUACACCGAGGAAAGACCAUGCAAGGAGGCAGCAAGGUGUCUGCUAUCUGUAAGCCAAGGAGAGACCCCUCAACAGAAACCAGUCCUGCCGCCAUUUUGA
rnacentral:lncRNA from 1 species